GAUGAACGCUGGCGGCGUGCCUAAUACAUGCAAGUCGAGCGAACGCACGAUAAGCUUUCGUCUCUGAUGUUAGCGGCGGACGGGUGGGUAACACGUGGAUAACCUACCUAUAAGUCGGGGAUAACUUCGGGAAACCGGAGCUAAUACCGGAUAAUAUGUCGAACGGGAUGGUUCAAAAGAGAAUGACGGUUUUGCCGUCACUUAUAGCUGGUUCCGCGCUGGAUUAGCUAGUUGGUAAGGUAACGGCUUACCAAGGCAACGAUGCGUAGCCGACCUGAGAGGAUGAUCAGCCACACUGGAACUGAGACACGGUCCAGACUCCUACGGGAGGCAGCAGUAGGGAAUCUUCCGCAAUGGGCGAAAGCCUGACCGAGCAACGCCGCGUGAGUGAUGAAGGUCUUCGGGUCGUAAAACUCUGUUAUUAGGAAAGAACAUCUGUGUAAGUAUCCCCGGCCGUCUUGACGGUACCUAAACAGAAAGCACCGGCUAACUACGUG
rnacentral:rRNA from 1 species